rnacentral:rRNA from 1 species
UACGUAGGGGGCAAGCGUUGUCCGGAUUUAUUGGGCGUAAAGAGCUCGUAGGCGGUUCCGUAAGUCGAGUGUGAAAAAUCUGGGCUCAACCCAGUGGAGCACUCGAUACUGCGGUGACUAGAGUACGGUAGAGGAGUGUGGAAUUCCUGGUGUAGCGGUGAAAUGCGCAGAUAUCAGGAGGAACACCAACGGCGAAGGCAGCACUCUGGGCUAACACUGACGCUCAGGCACGAAAGCGUGGGGAGCAAACAGG